UAGAGGUUCGAAGGCGAUCAGAUACCGCCCUAGUUCUGACCGUAAACGAUGCCACCUGACGAUCCGCCAGGGUUACUACCAUGACUCGGCGGGCAGUCCCCGGGAAACCCAAGCCUUCGGGUUCCGGGGGAAGUAUGGUUGCAAAGCUGAAACUUAAAGGAAUUGACGGAAGGGCACCACCAGGAGUGGAGCCUGCGGCUUAAUUUGACUCAACACGGGGAACCUCACCCGGCCCGGACACCGCGAGGAUUGACAGAUUGAGAGCUCUUUCUCGAUUCGGUGGGUGGUGGUGCAUGGCCGUUCUUAGUUGGUGGAGCGAUUUGUCUGGUUAAUUCCGAUAACGAACGAGACUCUAGCCGGUUAAGUAGCCCGAGCGGUUUUUGAUCUUUGCCGUUCAUCCCCGUUCGACCUUU
rnacentral:rRNA from 1 species